rnacentral:rRNA from 1 species
UACGGAGGGGGCUAGCGUUGUUCGGAAUUACUGGGCGUAAAGCGCGCGUAGGCGGACCUGCAAGUCGGGGGUGAAAGCCCGAGGCUCAACCUCAGAACUGCCUUCGAUACUGCGGGUCUCGAGUCCGGGAGAGGUGAGUGGAAUUCCUAGUGUAGAGGUGAAAUUCGUAGAUAUUAGGAAGAACACCAGUGGCGAAGGCGGCUCACUGGCCCGGUACUGACGCUGAGGUGCGAAAGCGUGGGGAGCAAACAGG